rnacentral:tRNA from 2 species
GCCUUCGUAGCUCAGGUGGUAGAGCACGUCCUUGGUAAGGACGGGGUCGUCAGUUCGAGUCUGAUCGAAGGCU